UUCCUUUCCUUUCCUUUCCUUUCCUUUCCUUUUCACAUAAAAAUCCUCAAAAUAAUGAGCUUUUUUGAAGAAAAUCUUGCUUUGUGUUUCCUGAAAAAUUAUGCACUGCUGAAUUAAAUGGUUAUCUAUCAGUUUCCAAGGGGCGUAUAUGUUUUUAAAAAGUCAGCUAGAUGUUCUAUGCAAAACAGAACAGACCUUCUAGACUCAACUUUUAAUCUCUGGUGCUAUAGACUAGCAUGUAACUAUGAUUAUUAUUGUAUCUGUAAUAACUAAUGUCAAGUGUAGACUGAGGGGAUCAAAUAGGCCUGUCAGUGCAUUUUUACCAGACAAUUUAACACAUAAACACUUGCCUCUAUGUUUCUUUCCAGGUUUUGAAUUGUUACAACUAGUAGGUGCAUAAUAAUUCAGCAGUACUGUUUACCGACUUCACCUGUUACAGUCCUUUUCAUUUACACACAAUUUGCACUAUCUUACUCUGUAUCAGAAAAUCAAGAGCAUAUUAUUAAUGUGUAAUUAAUAACUUACACUAAAUUCCAUCUCAACUAUUUAUUAUUCAGAGAUUCUUAAAUGUUAGUAUGGCAAAUAUCCAUAUUUUAUCUGUUACAGAUGAAGAAAUUACACUCAUGGUUCAGUGUAAUCCAUUCAUUGAUUCACAGAUCCCAGAGACCUUCAGGCAAUGUGACAAAUACACAUAAUUUCCCUGAGUACUAGGUUGUAUGUUUGUGUAUCUGAUUAAGUUAAAAAAAAUCAUUUAAAAAUAUAUAAAUUCCUCAUUUAGCCAGACAGAUCACUAUGGCUACACAUCUCAUAAGUCUCUGGAGCAUUUUGUUAUUCUAAGCUAAGUUGACAGGAAUUUACACUCAAUAAAUUGGUUCUAGAUCUGCCCAUUUCAGAUGCUAUCACAAAGACAAGGUUUUAUGUGAAAUUCUUUUACCUUUAGUCAGUGUAUUCCUUUUAAGAGAUUUGCCAUUACAAAUGCAGAUGAUAUGGAGACAAAAAGAUUCCCUUGCUCUCCAAAGCAUGACAGAAUCUGAUGGAUCAACAGUUUGUACAUAAGCUGUUUUGCUAAAAUCAAAUCAAUCCAAAUCAAACCAUCCUUUUUUCAAUUUUUUAAAGAGAAGGUUCUAGAUCUGUGGCAAAAUCAUGCGUAUAUCAUUCACAAUGUAUUAAUAGAUCUUCUACUUGAUGCAGAAAACAGUCUCUGUAAAGAGAUACAAUUAUUUAUUAUUUUUAACUGUCUAGGUUUUAACUGAAAUAAUUUUCUUCAUAGUAGCUGGUAUUAUGCUGUGUCUUGGAUUUAACAGAAAAACAAUAUUGAUAACACACUGAUGUGUUGCAACACAAGUGUCACAGGUGUCAGUUUUUUUCUGAGUAGUGCUUUCAUGAACUCAAGAACUUUUCUGCUUCUUGCACUGCUCUGCCAGCAAGGAGCCAGCAGAGUACAAGAAGCUGGGUGGUGACACAGCCAGGAUGCCUGAACCCAAAUUGGCCACAGGGGUAUUCCAUACUGUAUGGCAUCAUGCUGAGUAAUAAAACCUGGGAGGGUAUUGAGCAGGGCAGGGACUACUGCCUGGGGACUGGGUCAGUAUUGGUAAGUGGAUAGGGGGCAGCUGCAUUGUACAUCACUUGUUCUGUAAAUUCUUUUUAUUAUUGUUGUUGUUAUUAUUCUCCCUUCCUUUUCUGUCCUAUUACAUUGUAUUUAUCUAAACCCUUGAGUCUUACCUUUUUCCAAUUCUCUCACCCAUUCCACUGCUAAUCGCAAGAGUAAGUGAAGGGUUGUGUGGUGUUUAACUGCCUGCUGGAUUAAACCUCAACAGUCCUUUUGGCUACUAACAUAGGGCCCAAAGAGCUGAUCUAGCAACAGAUCUGACCAGAGUAUGUUAAAACAAAUUUAUUAGAGGAACUAUGUUAGUUUAAUAGUUGCUGGCCACAAUGUUAAUUUAUUCAUUCACAAUGUGGUUUUAUUUGCUUUCAAGGUUGUUUUUAUUAAUUCAUUUAUUGUCUGGGGUCUGGCCUGAGUUUGUUUAUAGUUUUGCCAGUUUGUAUUUACUAUAUAAAUAGCAUGCAUUCAUUUAAAACCAACUGUGAUCUUAAUCCGGUCUUUGUACUCAGUAUGGCCAUCAUCUCACACUUCAGGAAACACUGUGGAAACUACUACUAAGUCAACUCUUUAUUCACAACUUCCUGCACCUAUGGAUGGAGAGUUCCUGCUCACUACAUAAAGCUUCCUUAAAGAUCUUCCAGCUCUGCUCCUCUCCCUUGACCUUGAGGACAGUUUCCCAGAGGGUUUUGUUGAGUAACUCCCUGAGGAGCUGGAAUUUGGCUUUCCUAGAAUUUAGCAUCCUGACUUUGCUCUUUGUCUGUCUCAUAUCUCUCAAGAGUGUGAACUCCACCACUGCAUGACUAGCUGACCCAAAACGUGUGACAAGCCCUGAGGCUGAGCCAGAGAACCAACUCGUGCCAAUAUCAGUCAUCCCUGUAUUCAAGAAGAAACAAUUGGACGUGAAAGUCAGCUCAUUUAGUAAGAGAAGAAACUCCUACUAAGAAGGGAAAGGAGGAAGAAAAGGACAAGGAAAGCUACUCCAAAGCAAGGCCAUCACAGGAAUAGGAGGAGGAAGUGGCAGAUAUGAUAAAAAAAGCAGUAACCACUGGAUACCUAUCCAUGAAUGAGCUGAAAGAUAUGUGAAAAAAUUUCAGCCAUUGUUCAGGCAAGCGUAUUCUCACCUGGCUGCUUUGAUGUUGAGCUAAUGGAGCUGAUAGGCUAGAAUUAGAAGGCAGUGAAGCCAGGCAGCUGGGAUCCCCGUCUAGGGAAGGGGACACUGACAAACAAUUUGAAAAGAGACACAAGCCCUCAGCCUCGGGAGGUGACUCCUGCCAGGCAUGAGGGAAAGGUAAAAUUUAGAUCUUAUAAUAAUAAGGCCUCGAGUAUGAAGAACUAGUCCUAUGUGCGGUUCAAAGUUCUUUGAUAUGUUACGGCUUUAUACAGAAUAAUAGCUUGUUACAAAUGGAUUAAUUUAGUCCAGCAAUUCGCUGUCUUUUUUUUUAGGGCAGUUGCAAAGAAAGACGGCUUGACUGUUUGCAAAUCGUAAAUUCAUAGGACUAAAAGAAGGCUCAAAAGAAAAACAACAAAAAUUAUAAAUGGAUAUGAAAGUGUGAAAUUAAGAAAAUGGAAUUUAGACUUAAAGACGAGAAAUAGGUUUCUCAUGAUACUAUCAAUUAGACUGGAAACAUUAAAACAAAAAAAUGGAAGCAUUGAAACUAAAAAGGAAAUAAUUUAUAAGGUACAGCUCAGCAUGGGAAAAAAAGGAUAUUAUAAAUAAUGUAAUAGUUCUUUUUAUUUCUAUCUUUGCUAGCCCUGUGAUUAUGAAUGGACAUCAUUUUAAGAGAAAGGAGGGAAAAUGUGCUUUGUUAUAAUGACAGUGAUAUUUCUAUGUGUGUGUAUAUAUGUCUGAGAAAAAAAAAAUGCUGCUGUGAAAUUGCCUUUAUCUCUAUAUAUCUUAGUAUUUGAAGGAAGUACAGGAAGGAAAAACUCCAUACUUUUAGUGAAAAUGCAUUAUAGAAGUCCAUGGACACCAGCUGCGUGGUCUCCAGACAAACUUGCAGUUGCAGGAUGAGGUCAAAAAUGUCUAGUAACCUCUGGUACGAGCAUCCUCUGUGACUUAAAAUCAAUGAAGUAUUGGAAAUAACAAAAAUGUCCCUUGCCUCUCUCCCUUUCUGUCAGGUGGGUGACACAGGUAGUGUCUUUAUUACUUCCAUUAGCUUUGUGCCACUUGAGGAAAUUGUUUUUCAUGGUGUGAAUUGAAUUUAGCCUACUAAUAUCUGUUCCUUUGACUUUUAUUGUUAACAAUCUGUUUUAAUUUCAGAAAAACCUGACAUUAUACAAGAUAUAGUAUUAUUCAUAUAUAUCGAUAUUUAUGGACUUUAUUUCCUUAAUCUGAGUCAAUGUAAAUGGACUUUGCACCAUUUUGCUAGUUACUGGCAAUGGUAUGUUUGUAGAAGCUUUUAUUCUUCUCUCUCACAGCAGGCUGAUAAGAUUCAUUGCUAGAGCGUAAUAUUUUUGCCCCCCUUUUGCACUUGAAAGGUAUUAAUUUGCAUGUAUUUAUCUUUCUGUUCAUAUUACAGCUUUCAGCUAGACCAUUAUUUGUCGAAGUGCUUCUUUAUGGUGCUCCUCAGAACUAUAUCAAUUCCAUUAGUCAUAUUACUCUGCAAGACCCCUUUUGUCUCAAAUAAAAUUGAUCCCUCUGCUUCUUUAAACAUAUACACAUAUCCAUAGCAGUCUGAAUAUAUUAGGAAGAGUAACAGGUGAAAUAUAAAAUAUUUUUAUAUGCAUAGAAUAAAAGAAUUAUGUUUGUUUA